rnacentral:lncRNA from 1 species
AGGUUUUGCACAACAAGAGGAUCCCUGUAGUAAAGGUACAGUGGCAACACAACACUCCAGAAGAGACGACGUAGGAGUUGGAGAGCGAGAUGAGAGAGAAGUGUCCAAACUUAUUCAUGACAAAUUUGGGGGGACCAAAUUUUUUGAGGUGGGGGGAUGUAACACCUCGAAAACCUUUACACUUAAUUUGUAAUGCGAACCCCAAUUUAUUCAAGCCCUAAGGCCACGUAAACUCU